GGAGGCGUGGCCGAGCGGACGAUGGCGCUGGUCUUGAAAACCAGUAGUGGUGCAAGCUACUCGAAGGUUCGAAUCCUUCCGCCUCCG
rnacentral:tRNA from 1 species